rnacentral:rRNA from 1 species
AGCGAACGCUGGCGGUGGGCCUAACACAUGCAAGUCGAACGGCAGCACAGUAAGAGUUUGCUCUUACGGGUGGCGAGUCGCGGACGGGUGAGGAAUACAUCGGAAUCUACUUUUUCGUGGGGGUUAACGUAGGGAAACUUACGCUAAUACCGCAUAUGACCUACGGUUGAAAGCAGGGGAUCUUCGGACCUUGUGCGAUUGAACGAGCCGAUGUCGGAUUAGCUAGUUGGCGGGGUGAUGGCCCACCAAGGCGACGAUUCGUAGCUGGUCGGAGAGGAUGAUCGGCCACACGGGAACGGAGACACGGUCCAGACUCCUGCGGGAGGCAGCAGAGGGGAAUGUUGGACAGUAGGCGCGAGCCUGGUCCAGUCGUACCGCGUGGGUGACGAAGGCGUUCGGGUUGUAAAGCCCGUUUGUUGGUAAAGAAAAGCUGCCGGUUAAUACCCAGCUGUUGUGACGGUACCGAAUGAAUAAGCACCGGCUAACUUCGUG